CCUGAGGAGAAUUCACUGAUUCACUGAUGCGGCCAGUAAGUCAUCUGGGCCAAAGGUGGGUGGGGAGAUGAUAGGGGUGCAAGUGUCACCUUCAAUCACAGCAUAACUGCCCUUGCUUUCUUACCUCUCAUUUAGAUACUUCAGUGCUUGCUCAGGUCCCCUGUACCCUCCUUCAUUCUUCCUUCCCAGCCAUACUACUUAUGGGGAGACUUUCUCUUUAUAAAAUGACUGUUAGUCUUGUCAAAUUAAUCCCAAAGUAGUACCAUCAAUUUCCCCCUAAAAUACCAACAAGACUCCUGCUUGAAACUACUUGUCCAUUAGGGACAGAGAAGAGUUCAUGAGAAUCAGCAUUUUCUGAGGACUCUAGCUGUCUUCCGAGAGAGAGUUCUCCUGCUGGUGCCUCCUCUGUAAUAAAGCAAAGGCUCCUGGAACCACAUUAUCAUUCUCUUCACUCAAGAGAUGAGGAUGCUGAAAUUCAGAGAGGGGAAGUGAUUUGCCUCAGCUUGUGCUAAAGAAACAUUUCAACAGAGAACCCAGUGGAAAUUAUGACAUGUUAUCUUCUCAGAGUCCUGAACUCCCAUCCCUACCUCAGAAGAGACUCCACUGUUCACAGAAGCUAAAGGCAGUUCCUUCCCAGUGGCAACUAUGUUUGGAUGUUGGAUCUACACUUUUCUCAAGCACUGUGAUCUUCAAAUCUUCCAGGCAUUACCUGCAUGCUGUGUUCCUGUGGUGGGAUGGCAGUAAUCUCUGCUAAGAUAAACGGGAGCUUCUGUGGAUAAAGCGUAAAUGCAGUGAAGUGUGUGUGGCUGAAAGAUUUAAUGCCUCUACAGGUAAUUUUUUUAGAGGGGGAUCUGGCAUUUAAUCAAAUCCAGAGUCAUUAUGUAAAUUUAAUCACCUUGCAACACACUAGUAAUUUUAUUAUCUCCUUUUCAUUUGACAGUGCUUAGAUACAAGUUGAGCUUGGAAUUCCAGAGGUAGAGCACUGCUGAUUGGAGGCAUAUUAAAUAAAAUGUACUGUGGAAAUGAGAUAAAACCUUUA
rnacentral:lncRNA from 1 species